GCCAGGUGUGGUGGUGCCCACCUGAAAUCCCAGCUAAUCAGGAGGCUGAGGCAGGAGGAUCACAAGUUUGAAGUUAGCCUGGGCAACUUAUAGUGAGAUUCUAUCUCAA
rnacentral:sRNA from 1 species